CAGCCGCCGCCGUCUGCCUCCCCGUCCAGCGCCGCUCGUCCGUCUCCCCGUCCAGCACCGCGUGGUCACCGCCCCUCGUCAGCGCCGCUCGUCGGAUCCGCAGUUUCUGCUCCGCCGCCAAGUACUUCGUACUAUGCUUCCAUUGGCGUUCAUUAGAAGAUCGAUGUGUUGUUUAUUUCCGGAUCGACAUCAUGGAAGGCUAUCCUAUUUCUGUGAUGGAAUUACAUCUAUUUAUCUAAUAAUUGUGGGCUAUAAUUUGAAUAGUUGUGCAAUUUUUUUAUUUGUCACAAAAAUAUUGCUACAAAUCAUGUAAAUUAUUUUUUAAUAUUUCAUAUAAUUCUUGUUAAUGGUA